rnacentral:rRNA from 1 species
CCCUUAGAUGUUCUGGGCGGCCCGCGCACUACAUUGGCACUAGCAAAGAGAUCCUAGAUUGAAUUCUUUGGGGUAUUCUUCUAAAUGGUGUCGUGACUGGGAUAAAUCCUUGUAAUUAUUGGUUUUGAACGAGGAAUUCCUUGUAAUCGCGGUUUAUCAGCUCGUGUUGAAUGCGUCCCUGCCCUUUGUACACACCGCCCGUCGCUCCUACCGAUGGAUCGUCCGGUGAAGCUCACGGAGUGACUGUUCACGCAACGGUUUACGAAGUGAAAUGGACCUCACGAUUUAGAGGAAGGAGAAGUCGUAACA